rnacentral:rRNA from 1 species
UCCGGUGGCGAUAGAGAUGGGGAAACACCUGUUCCCAUUCCGAACACAGCAGUUAAGCCCAUCAUCGCCGAUGGUACUACGCGGGAGACUGCGUGGGAGAGUAGGACGCUGCCGGGA